UACGAAGGGGGCUAGCGUUGCUCGGAAUCACUGGGCGUAAAGCGCACGUAGGCGGAUCUUUAAGUCAGGGGUGAAAUCCCAAGGCUCAACCUUGGAACUGCCUUUGAUACUGGGGAUCUCGAGUCCGGAAGAGGUUGGUGGAACUGCGAGUGUAGAGGUGAAAUUCGUAGAUAUUCGGAAGAACACCAGUGGCGAAGGCGGCUGACUGGACAUGUAUUGACGCUGAGGUGCGAAAGCGUGGGGAGCAAACAGG
rnacentral:rRNA from 1 species